UCUGGCAGCCUCAGCAUUUAGGCUGCCUCUAACUUAGAAUGGCUGCUUUCAGGGGCAAAGUAGGGUUGGGCCCAGAACAUGCUUGGAUGGGUGACCACCUGGGAAUACCAGGUGCUGUAGGCU
rnacentral:rRNA from 1 species